AUGAAACUUUUGAUUCUUUUUACGUUUUUGGCCACAAGGCACCUACGCGUCGCAGGAUCCGCUGCGGCUCGGUCACCGCUCCCUUCUUCUUCGUCACAGGCCCGUCCCGCAUCCUCCCGGGGUCCGGCGCGACCCCGGCCCACGGAACCUUCCCCGUCAGGCGUCCUGCCGGGGUCCGGCGCGACCCCAGCUCCCUGUACCUCCCCGUCAGGCGUCCUCCCGGGGUCAGGCGCGACCCCAGCCCCAUGUACCUCCCCGUCCCGCAUCCUCCCGGGGUCAGGCGCGACCCCAGCUCCCUGUACCUCCCCGUCAGGCGUCCUCCCGGGGUCCGGCGCGACCCCGGCCCCAUGUACCCUCCCCGUCCCUCAUCCUGCCGGGGUCCGGCGCGACCCCGGCCCCCUGUACCUCCCCGUCAGGCGUUCUCCCGGGGUCAGGCGCGACCCCGGCCCCAUGUACCUCCCCGUCCCGCGUCCUCCCGGGGUCAGGCGCGACCCCAGCUCCCUGUACCUCCCCGUCAGGCGUCCUCCCGGGGUCCGGCGCGACCCCGGCCCCGGAACCUCCCCGUCGGGCGUCCUGCCGGGGUCCGGCGCGACCCCAGCUCCCUGUACCUCCCCGUCAGGCGUCCUCCCGGGGUCAGGCGCGACCCCAGCUCCCUGUACCUCCCCGUCAGGCGUCCUCCCGGGGUCCGGCGCAACCCCGGCCCACGGAACCUCCCCGUCAGGCGUCCUGCCGGGGUCAGGCGUCCUGCCGGGGUCCGGCGCGACCCCAGCUCCCUGUACCUCCCCGUCAGGCGUCCUCCCGGGGUCAGGCGCGACCCCGGCCCACGGAACCUCCCCGUCAAGCGUCCUGCCGGGGUCUUGGCGCCGCGUUAGAAACCCAUUCUUUCGUAGCUCUCAUUGUGGCGUUCGUGUGCAGCCUUGUUCAUUGUGGCCAUUUGCUAAAUUUUCGUGCCCAGAGCGAGUCGCUGCGUGUGAAGAGCCAGUGGCAUCGAUGUUUCCACAGCGAGUCACUGAUCAGCGCGCUGCUGUUGGCAGGUUUAGUUGA
rnacentral:lncRNA from 1 species